AUUGAACGCUGGCGGCAGGCCUAACACAUGCAAGUCGAGCGGAGCGGCGGACGGGUGAGUAAUGCCUAGGAAUCUGCCUGGUAGUGGGGGAUAACGUCCGGAAACGGGCGCUAAUACCGCAUACUAUCAGAUGAGCCUAGGUCGGAUUAGCUAGUUGGUGGGGUAAAGGCCUACCAAGGCGACGAUCCGUAACUGGUCUGAGAGGAUGAUCAGUCAAACUGGAAAUGAGACACGGUCCAGACUCCGACGGGGGGCAGGAGUGGGGGAAUUUCCGAAAUGGACGAAAGUCUGCAGGAGCAAAGGCGCGUGAGUGAUGGCGGCCUUCGGGUUGGAAAGCUCUGUUAAUCGGGACGCGGUACCGGAAUAGAAAGCCACGGCUAACUACGUGCCAGCAGCCGCGGUAAUUC
rnacentral:rRNA from 1 species